rnacentral:rRNA from 1 species
UACGGAGGAUGCAAGCGUUAUCCGGAUUUAUUGGGCGUAAAGCGUCCGCAGGUGGCUAUUCAAGUCUGCUGUCAAAGCUCGGAGCUUAACUCCGAAUCGGCGGUGGAAACUGAACAGCUAGAGUGCAGUAGGGGUAGAGGGAAUUCCCAGUGUAGCGGUGAAAUGCGUAGAGAUUGGGAAGAACACCGGUGGCGAAAGCGCUACUACUGGACUAGCAACU